rnacentral:rRNA from 1 species
UACGGAGGGUGCGAGCGUUAAUCGGAAUAACUGGGCGUAAAGGGCACGCAGGCGGGCUUUUAAGUGAGAUGUGAAAUACCCGGGCUUAACCUGGGAAUAGCAUUUCAGACUGGGAGUCUAGAGUGCUUUAGGGAGGGGUAGAAUUCCACGUGUAGCGGUGAAAUGCGUAGAGAUGUGGAGGAAUACCGAAGGCGAAGGCAACCCCGUGGGAAUGUACUGACGCUCAUGUGCGAAAGCGUGGGGAACAAACAGG